rnacentral:rRNA from 1 species
AUUGAACGCUGGCGGCAGGCCUAACACAUGCAAGUCGAACGAGUGGCGGAAGGGUGAGUAAUGUCUGGGCAACUGCCUGAUGGAGGGGGAUAAAUACUGGAAACGGUAGCUAAUACAGCAUACCAUCAGAUGUGCCCAGAUGGGGUUAGCUAGUGGGGGGGGUAACGGCUCACCAAGGCGACGACCCCUAGAUGGUCUGAGAGGAUGACCAGCCACACUGGAACUGAGACACGGUCCAGACUCCGACGGGAGGCAGCAGUGGGGAAUAUUGCACAAUGGGCGCAAGCCUGAUACAGCCAUGCCGCGUGUAUGAAGAAGGCCUUCGGGUUGUAAAGUACGUUCAGCGGGGAGGCGUUACCCGCAGAAGAAGCACCGGCUAACUCCGUGCCAGCAGCCGCGGUAAUUC